UGUCCCGGUUUAAGCGUGUAGGUGUGUGUUCCAGGUAAAUCCGGUUCACUUUAACACUGAGGCGUGACGACGAGGCACUACGGUGCUGAAGCAACAAAUGCCCUGCUUCCAGGAAAAGCCUCUAAGCAUCAGGUAACAUCAAAUCGUACCCCAAACCGACACAGGUGGUCAGGUAGAGAAUACCAAGGCGCUUGAGAGAACUCGGGUGAAGGAACUAGGCAAAAUGGUGCCGUAACUUCGGGAGAAGGCACGCUGACACGUAGGUGAAGUGAUUUACUCAUGGAGCUGAAGUCAGUCGAAGAUACCAGCUGGCUGCAACUGUUUAUUAAAAACACAGCACUGUGCAAACACGAAAGUGGACGUAUACGGUGUGACGCCUGCCCGGUGCCGGAAGGUUAAUUGAUGGGGUCAGCGCAAGCGAAGCUCCUGAUCGAAGCCCCGGUAAACGGCGGCCGUAACUAUAACGGUCCUAAGGUAGCGAAAUUCCUUGUCGGGUAAGUUCCGACCUGCACGAAUGGCGUAAUGAUGGCCAGGCUGUCUCCACCCGAGACUCAGUGAAAUUGAACUCGCUGUGAAGAUGCAGUGUACCCGCGGCAAGACGGAAAGACCCCGUGAACCUUUACUAUAGCUUGACACUGAACAUUGAGCCUUGAUGUGUAGGAUAGGUGGGAGGCUUUGAAGUGUGGACGCCAGUCUGCAUGGAGCCGACCUUGAAAUACCACCCUUUAAUGUUUGAUGUUCUAACGUGGACCCGUUACCCGGGUUGCGGACAGUGUCUGGUGGGUAGUUUGACUGGGGCGGUCUCCUCCUAAAGAGUAACGGAGGAGCACGAAGGUUGGCUAAUCCUGGUCGGACAUCAGGAGGUUAGUGCAAUGGCAUAAGCCAGCUUGACUGCGAGCGUGACGGCGCGAGCAGGUGCGAAAGCAGGUCAUAGUGAUCCGGUGGUUCUGAAUGGAAGGGCCAUCGCUCAACGGAUAAAAGGUACUCCGGGGAUAACAGGCUGAUACCGCCCAAGAGUUCAUAUCGACGGCGGUGUUUGGCACCUCGAUGUCGGCUCAUCACAUCCUGGGGCUGAAGUAGGUCCCAAGGGUAUGGCUGUUCGCCAUUUAAAGUGGUACGCGAGCUGGGUUUAGAACGUCGUGAGACAGUUCGGUCCCUAUCUGCCGUGGGCGCUGGAGAACUGAGGGGGGCUGCUCCUAGUACGAGAGGACCGGAGUGGACGCAUCACUGGUGUUCGGGUUGUCAUGCCAAUGGCACUGCCCGGUAGCUAAAUGCGGAAGAGAUAAGUGCUGAAAGCAUCUAAGCACGAAACUUGCCCCGA
rnacentral:rRNA from 3 species